GAAGAACGCUGGCGGCGUGCCUAAUACAUGCAAGUCGAGCGGACAGACGGGAGCUUGCUCCCUGAUGUUAGCGGCGGACGGGUGAGUAACACGUGGGUAACCUGCCUGUAAGACUGGGAUAACUCCGGGAAACCGGGGCUAAUACCGGAUGGUUGUCUGAACCGCACGGUUCAGACAUAAAAGGUGGCUUCGGCUACCACUUACAGAUGGACCCGCGGCGCAUUAGCUAGUUGGUGAGGUAACGGCUCACCAAGGCAACGAUGCGUAGCCGACCUGAGAGGGUGAUCGGCCACACUGGGACUGAGACACGGCCCAGACUCCUACGGGAGGCAGCAGUAGGGAAUCUUCCGCAAUGGACGAAAGUCUGACGGAGCAACGCCGCGUGAGUGAUGAAGGUUUUCGGAUCGUAAAGCUCUGUUGUUAGGGAAGAACAAGUGCCGUUCAAAUAGGGCGGCACCUUGACGGUACCUAACCAGAAAGCCACGGCUAACUACGUG
rnacentral:rRNA from 1 species